UUCUAUGUGUUUUAAGUGAUGUCCGUCCCUCUUGCAAAAAGCCUGGUGAUUCUGUGGGUGUCUGACAUCUCCUUUUUAUUUGUCAGCUGAGAGACUGGGCUGUUUGAUGUGUGUUUGGCAGCAGAUUUAAUGAGAGCACCUGAUGGAGAAGUAGCUCUGCUUAUCUACACUGAGCUCAAGAAAGACAAGGAGCUACUGGAGAGGGUCCAGAGGAGGCCACAAAGAAGAAGAGGGGUCUGAAGCCACUUGCUUAGGAGGAGACACUGAGGGAGCUGGGCCUGUUUAGUCUACAGAAGAUUGAGGAGAUCUCAUUAAUGCAUAUAAAUGUCUCCAAGGGAUGUCAGAGGAUGGUGCCAGACUCUUUUCAGUGGUGCACGGUAACAGGAAAAGAAGCAAUGGCCGUAAAAUGAAACACAAGAGGUUCCAUCUCAAUAUGAGGAAGAAGUUUUUUCCAUGGAAGGUGGCAAAGCACUGGAACAGUGCCCAGGGAGGGCCUGGAGUCUGCAUCUCUGGAGACAUUCCAAACCCACCUGGACACCUUCUUGUGUCGCCUGCUCCAUGUAACCCUGCCUGGGCAAGGGGGUUGGACUGGGUGAUCUCCUCCCAAGCUGUUACUCAGUGAUUCUGUGAACAGCAAUAUUAGUACUAAUAAUUAUUAUAAUUCCCCUGACCCUCACAGUAGGGGUAGGAAUUGGAUAGAUUUGCCCAGCAGCUGCUGUCUGGGCUGUGAUGGUAGCUCUCCUCACACCUGAUGGGGCACUACAGUGCACUCUGAGGGUACUAGGGGACCAUCCUGCCUUUUAUCCCCUCACACACCCCUGAUCCCAUUUCCUGCCUUUUUCCUCUCAUGCAACCCCAGCUCCUGUUUCCCAUCAUUUUUCCCAUCACGCAUCCCCAGUCAAACUAGUUUCCUGCCUUUUCCCCCUUGCACACCCCUGGCCUCCGUUUCCCACCUUUAUCCCCCCCAAUGCAUCCUUGGGUCCGUUUCCCGCCUUUUUCCCCUCACACACCCCUGGGUCCAUUUCCCUUUUUCCCCUCACACUCCCCUGGGUCUGUUUCCCGCCUUUUUCCCCUCACGCAUCCCCGGUCCGUUUCCCUUUUUCCCCUCAUGCACCCACAGCCCCCAUGACCCCCUGGCAUGGGGCUGCUGUGACAAACUCAUCGUGGGAUGAAGCUGUCAGACAGGAUGGAGUGUGUCACCCUCAGAGAUGUGUCCUGUGGCUCACAGAAUUCCAUGACCAUGCCCGGACUGUGGCCAGGGACUGAAGCGGCCCGUGAUCCACCAGGGAUGCUGAGGUGAGGCUGAGGGAGAUGGCGGCCAUGCCACACUCAAGUGCUGCCUUGUCCCUGUCCCAGCUGUAGCUUUGCUUACACUUCUCCUCAUUGCCCACAGCACAACAAGCUUCAUGCAAGUUUAUGUUUGGUUUAAAGACCAGAUUUUGACAUGUAUUUAAGUGUUAACCUCCGUGUGGGGCUCAGAACUGGCCCUGCCCUGUGGGGCUGGCCUAGCCCCUCAGCCUGACUUUACUUUUUCCAGCCCCUCAUUGAUGUAAAUUUGCUUUUAAACCUCCUGCCACCCCUAAACCUGCUUUCAUUUUUAUCCACUCAGCUCAUUGAAUGCUUUUGUUUCUCUUUUUCUUUUCUCCUUUCCUCAAGCCCCUCUGUCUGUUCUCCCUUCCCCUGCUUUGCCUUAGCUCUCUCUCAGCUGUAGUUACUGAAGUCUGAAACAGGAUAGUGGGAAUUCUCCCUCCUAGACAAAAAGUUGUUUUUUAAAGAAAAGCGCUCCUUGUUUUUGAUAAAAGAGGGCAUAUCUCUUUUUUCCCCCUCCUCAAUUUCUCUUCACCUCCACAUGGACCUGGUGCUACCUGUGGCACCUUUCCAUUGUCUCAGUCUCCCUUUACUUUGUAUAUUUCUGCAUAAUUUCAUACAGCCAUGGUUGCAAUCUGUGUUAAAGGCACACCCAUCUAAAAUUUCAGGAGAGAAAACUUGUUUCUUCACACCUGUACCAUCCACUGGGCUGUGAAACAGAGUAUGAAUUUUCCCAUUUAUGUUACAUUUGUCCCUAAAAACUCAGAUCUUGGACCUGGAUCCCACUAAGCAAAAGCAUCUCAAAUAUAUGGACUUUGCUUUGAUAAACAUGCAUUUACUUUUUCAACCAUAGGAGUUGUAAACUUGCUUGAAAGUUGCUGAAAACCCCUAUGUUGCUAAAGAAAGCAUUUGUCCUCAUUCCAAUAUCCCAGCCUGCUGCCAGCAGCAGAUGAGGUUUGCUUGCAGGAGAUAAAUUAUUUAUGGAAAGGUGUACAUGCUAUCUGAUCUGAAUCAUUACUGUGAUAAGUUUAUAUUUAGAACCUUUUAUAAUAUCAAAAUAGCACCAGCAUCAGUUAAGCUUUUUUUUCCUUUAGUAGGUACUUAAAAUUUUUGUUGUUAUCUCUAAAUGAGCCCAGGUUAGUUGUGCUCAUGAACCUUCAUCUCGAUGCAUGGAAACCCAGCCCUAUGCUGAAAAGUAAUUAUUUUAUAUAAAUAUAUAUAAACAACGUUCUCCUGCUUUGCUUAAUGAUGCCUGGGAAGACGAGUUCUCGGUGCUCAACAGGCUUUUAUCCUGUCCUGCUUUUUUUUAAAUUCAGGCUGGGUUCUCCCUGUAUCUUGUAUAUUCCUGUUUUUAAAACCUUGGCAGUUGGAAGUGAAAUGAUUUACAGGUGAUACAUGAACUCAAACAGAAAUGCCAAAUGUUCAGAGUUCUAACAUUAGGUGUUCAGCAAUUGUGUGCCAGGUCCACUUCUAAAAUAAUGCUAAAUUUAAAAAUAACUGAGAAUGUGCUUGUUUAUCAUGUGACGAUGGACCAAUGAAGUCUCAAAGUUCUGAGUUCCUCUUUACAAUUGCAGAGGUUGAAUUCUUCUUACUUGUGUAAAAACUGCAUAACUAUCUUACUCCAGCAGCUCAAAAAAAAAGCCCCACAAAUGUUCUCAGACCCAUGAAAACAUUGUGGGAGUUGACGACUGACAGCGACUGCAAGACGAGUGAAAUAAAAAUCAAACUUCAA